GAUGAACGCUGGCGGCGUGCCUAAUACAUGCAAGUCGAGCGAACGGACGAGAAGCUUGCUUCUCUGAUGUUAGCGGCGGACGGGUGAGUAACACGUGGAUAACCUACCUAUAAGACUGGGAUAACUUCGGGAAACCGGAGCUAAUACCGGAUGAUAUUUUGAACCGCAUGGUUCAAAAGUGAAAGACGGUCUUGCUGUCACUUAUAGAUGGAUCCGCGCUGCAUUAGCUAGUUGGUAAGGUAAUGGCUUACCAAGGCAACGAUGCAUAGCCGACCUGAGAGGGUGAUCGGCCACACUGGAACUGAGACACGGUCCAGACUCCUACGGGAGGCAGCAGUAGGGAAUCUUCCGCAAUGGGCGAAAGCCUGACGGAGCAACGCCGCGUGAGUGAUGAAGGUCUUCGGAUCGUAAAACUCUGUUAUUAGGGAAGAACAUACGUGUAAGUAACUGUGCACAUCUUGACGGUACCUAAUCAGAAAGCCACGGCUAACUACGUG
rnacentral:rRNA from 1 species